UUAUGGCCAUAUCACAUUGAAACAAUGGUUCUUGUAUGAUCACUGAAGUUAAGCAGCAUCAAGCCUGGUUAGUACAUAGAUAGGUGACUGCUUGGUAACACCAGGUGCUGUAAG